GAGAGAAUAAGAAAGAAAUGCAUUUCAAAAAGAAAAAGGCCCAAUCAGAGCAAUCAAGUUGUUUUAAACGUGAAGUCAAUUCAUUUCCAAGUUGGAAAACAAGUGUAACACCGUUGGGAUUUGAGCAUCACCCAUGUCAUUGCAUCUACAGAUGGAAAUGGAGCUUGCAGAAGAGCCCUUAAGAUCUUGAUUGGCAUCUUAGAUGGGAAAUGGAUACUGAACAUUGAGUGUUACCAUCAGUUUCUCUGGAAUGAUUUUAUAUGCUCAAAUUUUGGAAGUUACAAGCACCUCUACAUGUUGAAGAUUAGCAUACGUAUAUGCUAUAUAUAAUGUAAUAAUACUUCUUGUUAACUUUUGCUUUCUGCAGGGGUUAAGGCUUGGACGAAGGCAAUGAAACUUGUUCAAGAAGGCCAAUAUGAAAUUGUAGUGGAUGUUCAUGGAAUCAGGGAUGCCCCGCGACUUGGAAGACUAAGAAUCCUAAACAAGGUAUGCUUGCAAGUGUCAUUUGCACUCUAGGGAUUUGUCCUCUCAUUUGUGAGCCUCACGCUUGCACGUGUCUAAUCUUUAUGGGCAUUGAUUGUCUUGUUCUCUUUCCUUUUUUCAAUCCAAUCUUAUUCUCUCUGUGACAAAAUCGCUCAUUAGAAAUAAUUCUGUGGUUUUGAAAAUUUGCUUCUGUUGGAUUGUAACAUAGUGCCAGCUUUCAUCAGAACUAGAAUAUUGCUCUGCCGUCUUAGACAUCAUACUUCCAUCGCUACGAGACUUCUGUGCAUGCGGUAUCUUAAUUUUAAUUCCAGCUUAUGGAGAUAAUUCUGCUACAGGUUUUUUUCAUCGCUUAUUAAGCAUAGUCCUAACAGCAUUGUUCUUGCUUGUGUUCACUGAGACAUGCUCGUUUGUGUACACAGUUUAUUAAGAAAUUUUAUUUUGCAACAACUAAAAUUUUUGAGGGGUUUAACUUCUAUUUGAUGGAAAAUACUGUAGCUUGUUAUAAGGGUUAUAUUCAAGAUCUU
rnacentral:misc_RNA from 1 species